AUUGAACGCUGGCGGCAGGCUUAACACAUGCAAGUCGAGCGGGGGAAGGUAGCUUGCUACCGGACCUAGCGGCGGACGGGUGAGUAAUGCGUCGGAACGUGCCGAGUAGUGGGGGAUAACGCAGCGAAAGUUGUGCUAAUACCGCAUACGUACUGAGGUAGAAAGUGGGGGACCUUCGGGCCUCACGCUAUUCGAGCGGCCGACGUCUGAUUGGCUAGUAGGUGAGGUAAAGGCUCACCUAGGCGACGAUCAGUAGCGGGUCUGAGAGGAUGAUCCGCCACACUGGGACUGAGACACGGCCCAGACUCCUACGGGAGGCAGCAGUGGGGAAUUUUGGACAAUGGGCGAAAGCCUGAUCCAGCCAUGCCGCGUGUCUGAAGAAGGCCUUCGGGUUGUAAAGGACUUUUGUCAGGGAGGAAAUCCCUAGUGCUAAUAACACUGGGGGAUGACAGUACCUGAAGAAUAAGCACCGGCUAACUACGUGCCAGCAGCCGCCGUAA
rnacentral:rRNA from 1 species